rnacentral:rRNA from 1 species
CAGCAGCCGCGGGAAAACGAGGGGGGCAAGCGUUGUUCGGAAUUAUUGGGCGUAAAGGGCGCGUAGGCGGUUUGGCAAGUUUGGUGUGAGAUCUUCGGGCUCAACUCGAAGUCUGCAUCGAAAACUGCCGGGCUUGAGUAUGGGAGAGGUGAGUGGAAUUUCCGGUGUAGCGGUGAAAUGCGUAGAGAUCUGGAGGAAUACCGAUGGCGAAGGCAGCCAUCUGGCCUAAUACUGACGCUGAGGUACGAAAGCAUGGGGAGCAAACAGGAUUAGAUACCCCUGUAGUCCCUGUCUCUUAUAC